AAUCCACAUAAUAGAGUGGACACUGUUGGUGCCUAUGAUUUGGACAUAUAUGACGCACUACUUAUGGGUACUAUAUUUGUAUCUGUGCAUAUGUGUGAAUUUGUGGGCAUGCAUAUACCCUGAUGUGAAUGGGACUAGGGUGUGAAGGUGGCUAAAUAAUGGUGGCCAUCAGCAUCUUUCCUGGACCCCCAACCCCCCACAGGACUCCCCAGAGCUGCAGCCCCUUCUUUGCCACUGCUCCUUCAACGAAGUUAACAGGCGGAGGCCCCCAAGGCCUGCGCUCCAAGCCCCCUCCUACUGCACACGUCAAAGGAGAAUUUCUCCGGAUGGCGCCCGCUGAUCCUGGAAAUACCCCAAACGUCAGCUCUGCCUCCUCCCAGUGAUUCGGAGAGCAAUGCAGGAGAGGAGGGAGCCCCUUCCACGCUGGGCUCAGGGCAUGCAGCGUCGCACUAAGACCCUCUGCCGGCUGGUCGGGCUUGCCUGCUCACUUACCCUUCUGAA
rnacentral:lncRNA from 1 species